GAUGAACGCUAGCGGCAGGCCUAACACAUGCAAGUCGAGGGGCAGCAUAAAAUAAACUUGUUUAUUUGGUGGCGACCGGCGCACGGGUGCGUAACGCGUAUGCAACCUACCUUACACAGGGGGAUAGCCCGGAGAGAUUCGGAUUAAUACCCCAUAGCACUAACGGAUGGCAUCAUUUGAUAUUUAAAGCUUUGGCGGUGUAAGAUGGGCAUGCGUCCUAUUAGCUAGUUGGUGAGGUAACGGCUCACCAAGGCUACGAUAGGUAGGGGGCCCGAGGGGGUGGUCCCCCACACUGGUACUGAGACACGGACCAGACUCCUACGGGAGGCAGCAGUGAGGAAUAUUGGUCAAUGGGCGCAAGCCUGAACCAGCCAUGCCGCGUGAAGGAUGAAGGUUCUAUGGAUUGUAAACUUCUCUUAUUUGGGAAUAAACCCCUUUACGUGUAGAGGGCUGAAGGUACCAAAUGAAUAAGCACCGGCUAACUCCGUGCCAGCAGCCGCCGUAAAAC
rnacentral:rRNA from 1 species